rnacentral:rRNA from 1 species
UACGUAGGUGGCGAGCGUUGUCCGGAUUUACUGGGCGUAAAGAGCGCGCAGGCGGCUGGUCAAGUCCGAUGUGAAAGCCCCCCGGCUCAACUGGGGAGGGUCACGCGAUACUGAUCGACUCGAAGGCAGGAGAGGGAAGUGGAAUUCCCGGUGUAGUGGUGAAAUGCGUAGAUAUCGGGAGGAACACCAGUGGCGAAGGCGGCUUUCUGGUCUGUAACUGACGCUGAGGCGCGAAAGCGUGGGGAGCAAACAGGG